GACGUAGGGCGCGAGCGUUGUCCGGAUUUAUUGGGCGUAAAAGAGCUCGUAGGCGGCUUGUCGCGUCGAAUGUGAAAACUCGGGGCUCAACUCCGAGCUUGCAUUCGAUACGGGCAGGCUAGAGUUCGGUAGGGGAGACUGGAAUUCCUGGUGUAGCGGUGAAAUGCGCAGAUAUCAGGAGGAACACCGGUGGCGAAGGCAGCUCUCUGGGACGGUACUGACGCUGAGACGCGAAAAGCGUGGGGAGCGAACGGG
rnacentral:rRNA from 1 species